rnacentral:rRNA from 1 species
ACUUAAAUUGAAGAGUUUGAUCAUGGCUCAGAUUGAACGCUGGCGGCAGGCCUAACACAUGCAAGUCGAGCGGUAACACAGAGAGCUUGCUCUCGGGUGACGAGCGGCGGACGGGUGAGUAAUGUCUGGGAAACUGCCUGAUGGAGGGGGAUAACUACUGGAAACGGUAGCUAAUACCGCAUAACGUCGCAAGACCAAAGUGGGGGACCUUCGGGCCUCAUGCCAUCAGAUGUGCCCAGAUGGGAUUAGCUAGUAGGUGGGGUAAUGGCUCACCUAGGCGACGAUCCCUAGCUGGUCUGAGAGGAUGACCAGCCACACUGGAACUGAGACACGGUCCAGACUCCUACGGGAGGCAGCAGUGGGGAAUAUUGCACAAUGGGCGCAAGCCUGAUGCAGCCAUGCCGCGUGUAUGAAGAAGGCCUUCGGGUUGUAAAGUACUUUCAGCGAGGAGGAAGGCGUUAAGGUUAAUAACCUUGGCGAUUGACGUUACUCGCAGAAGAAGCACCGGCUAACUCCGUGCCAGCAGCCGCGGUAAUACGGAGGGUGCAAGCGUUAAUCGGAAUUACUGGGCGUAAAGCGCACGCAGGCGGUCUGUCAAGUCGGAUGUGAAAUCCCCGGGCUCAACCUGGGAACUGCAUUCGAAACUGGCAGGCUAGAGUCUUGUAGAGGGGGGUAGAAUUCCAGGUGUAGCGGUGAAAUGCGUAGAGAUCUGGAGGAAUACCGGUGGCGAAGGCGGCCCCCUGGACAAAGACUGACGCUCAGGUGCGAAAGCGUGGGGAGCAAACAGGAUUAGAUACCCUGGUAGUCCACGCCGUAAACGAUGUCGACUUGGAGGUUGUGCCCUUGAGGCGUGGCUUCCGGAGCUAACGCGUUAAGUCGACCGCCUGGGGAGUACGGCCGCAAGGUUAAAACUCAAAUGAAUUGACGGGGGCCCGCACAAGCGGUGGAGCAUGUGGUUUAAUUCGAUGCAACGCGAAGAACCUUACCUACUCUUGACAUCCAGAGAACUUAGCAGAGAUGCUUUGGUGCCUUCGGGAACUCUGAGACAGGUGCUGCAUGGCUGUCGUCAGCUCGUGUUGUGAAAUGUUGGGUUAAGUCCCGCAACGAGCGCAACCCUUAUCCUUUGUUGCCAGCGGUUAGGCCGGGAACUCAAAGGAGACUGCCAGUGAUAAACUGGAGGAAGGUGGGGAUGACGUCAAGUCAUCAUGGCCCUUACGAGUAGGGCUACACACGUGCUACAAUGGCAUAUACAAAGAGAAGCGACCUCGCGAGAGCAAGCGGACCUCAUAAAGUAUGUCGUAGUCCGGAUUGGAGUCUGCAACUCGACUCCAUGAAGUCGGAAUCGCUAGUAAUCGUAGAUCAGAAUGCUACGGUGAAUACGUUCCCGGGCCUUGUACACACCGCCCGUCACACCAUGGGAGUGGGUUGCAAAAGAAGUAGGUAGCUUAACCUUCGGGAGGGCGCUUACCACUUUGUGAUUCAUGACUGGGGUGAAGUCGUAACAAGGUAACCGUAGGGGAACCUGCGGUUGGAUCACCUCCUUACCUUAAAGAA